GACGAACGCUGGCGGCGUGCUUAACACAUGCAAGUCGAACGAAGUGGCGAACGGGUGAGUAACGCGUAAUCAACCUGCCCUUCAGUGGGGGACAACAGCUGGAAACGACUGCUAAUACCGCAUACUGAAGGAGGGGAUUGCGUCUGAUUCGCUAGUUGGAGGGGUAACGGCCCACCAAGGCGCAGAUCAGUAGCCGGUCUGAGAGGAUGAACGGGCACAGUGGGAAUGAGACACGGGCCAUGAUCCUACGGGAGGCAGCAGUGGGGAAACUUCCGAAAUGGACGAAAGUCUGACGGAGCAACGGCGCGUGAGGGAUGACGGCCUUCGGGUUGUAAAGCUCUGUUAAUCGGGACGCGGUACCGGAAUAGAAAGCCACGGCUAACUACGUGCCAGCAGCCGCGGUAAUUC
rnacentral:rRNA from 1 species